AGUGACCGCGUCCGCGCUCCAGCGCUCCGGGUGGGGCUGUGAGUCCAUCGCUGAGAAAAGGGAGCUGGAGGACCAGUGUGGAGCCUGAGCCAGCUGGAGAGGGGCCCGGUAGGAUGUACGUGUGAUUAAGCGCUCUGGCGGCCCGGGCUUUCUCUUUCCCUUUCUGUUUCUUCUCUCUCCGCCUUGCCCUGUCUUUCAUUCGCCACUUAUUGAGCGCCUGCUGUAUCGGGCACUGUCGUGGGCCCUGGGCACACAGCAGUGAACAAGCAGACAAAAUCCCCACCUCAUGGAGCAGCAUUCUAAUGCGGGAGGAAUUCAAUAGGAAAAAAUUAAUAAUAAAGGACACUGAUGCAUAUUGGGAAGUAAUGCGUAUUAUCAAGAAAAGCGAAGCAGAGUAUUAAGAUCAUUCUUUCAGUUCUUCAUUCUUUCAGUUAUGCCCUCUGAAUCAGUGGAAAAAACGCAAGGUGCAUUUUUUUCUAUUAUCUCAACGACAACUAAUCAUAACAGAAGACUUUUCUGACCAAAUAUAGGGGAGUUUCCCACACAUCUCAAGCAAGCAAUGAGUUCAGUGAGUUCUGCAGCGGGCACCAGCUGGGUGUCCUCCAGUUUAAUUCCGACGCCGUCUACUUGGAGAUGGGUCAGACACCAUUCGCUGAGGGCUCAGUCCCCAAGCCUGCCUCCCCCUUCCCACUUCCCACUAAAGUCUAGCCUCUGGAACAUCUGACUCCACCACCUUCAAAUUGGGAUUUUCACCACCCCCUCUUUGCGGUUCGAUAUUUUGCUAGAGUGGCUCACGGAACUCAGGAAACACUUAUGUUUACUAGUUUAUUAUAAAGGAUAUUACAAAUGAUAUAGAUGAAGAGAUGCGUAGGGCAAAGUACAGAAAAAAGGGUGUUGCACCUUCCAGUAACCUCCACAUGUUCAGCUGGGUGGAAGCUCUCUAAACCCUGUCUUUUGGGAGUUUUACAGAGGCUUCAUUACAUAGGCAUGGUUGAUUAAAAUCCCGUCCCCUCCUUAGGGUUGGGGGUGGGGUUGAAUGUCCCAACCUUCUAGUCAUGUCUUGGUCUUUCCAUAACCAGUCCCCAUCCUGAAACUCUAUAGGGGUUGCCAGCUGUCAACUCAUUAGCAUACAAAAUGAGUUUUUACUGUUACUUUGUAGUUUCUAAGGAUUUUAGAAGUUCUAUGCUAGGAAGAUCAAAUAUAUAUUUCACAAUAUCAUACUCUUAUUCCUAUUCUUCAAUCUGUCUUUGAAAAUAUUUUAUAAACUCCUAUCUCUAGUUUAUCUCCCAAUCCUGUACCAUCCCUUCCAAAAUCCUGUUGUGCCCUUCAAUUGCUUCAUUUAAUUGUCUGACCAAAGUUGCCAGUGACAAAGAGCAUCAUAUAAGCUGGGAAUUUUAUUUGAGGAAAUUAAACAAACGCAACUAUGAUAUCAGCAAAAAAUACUAACUGA
rnacentral:lncRNA from 10 species